AACGAACGCUGGCGGCAUGCCUAACACAUGCAAGUCGAACGAGACCUUCGGGUCUAGUGGCGCAUGGGUGCGUAACGCGUGGGAACCUGCCCUUAGGUUCGGAAUAACUCCCCGAAAGGGGUGCUAAUACCGGAUAAUGUCUUCGGACCAAAGAUUUAUCGCCUUUGGAUGGGCCCGCGUUGGAUUAGCUAGUUGGUAGGGUAAAAGCCUACCAAGGCGACGAUCCAUAGCUGGUCUGAGAGGAUGAUCAGCCACACUGGGACUGAGACACGGCCCAGACUCCUACGGGAAGCAGCAGUGGGGAAUAUUGGACAAUGGGCGAAAGCCUGAUCCAGCAAUGCCGCGUGAGUGAUGAAGGCCUUAGGGUUGUAAAGCUCUUUUACCCGGGAUGAUAAUGACAGUACCGGGAGAAUAAGCUCCGGCUAACUCCGUG
rnacentral:rRNA from 1 species